UGGGGCGGGGCCGCCCGGGGGUUUCUGCCGGCGGGGCGGUCGCUGCCCUCUGACCUUGCCUGGGAAUUCUCCCCUCGGUGCAAGGCUCUCUUCUCUUUGCCCUUGUCAAGGGCAGGGGGCGGGGCAAGCCCUCCCGCUAGACACGCAGUCGGGGAGAACAAGCUGUCGUAUCGGAAGCGCCCGGCGUACCUGUGGGCGAAGCCGUGGCUGCGCGGACUCCCGCUUGUGUUCCGGGCGCUUGUGUUCCGGCUGCGUGCACCCUGGCUGUGCUGCGCUUCGCUGGGGGCUCCGCAGGCUGGACUCGGCCGUCGGGUGCUCCUGCCGCCGCUCGCCGAGCGCCCGGCGCGCGCCCAGGACUGAUCUGGCGCGGGAAUGCAAGGAGCGGGGUCCCCUUCGCGACGCCUGUAGCUUUGCUUUAUCGCUCGUCUGCAAAAUCUCAGCUCCUCUGUGACAGAGCACGUUUGGGGUCACCGGAGCCUGGCCUUUUGCGCACAUCUGUUUUCCCAUUCCUUGACUUUUCCUGGGAUUGUCAUUCUCAGAGGGAGGACUGCCCCGCACCGCGCACAGCGCCGCUCUCGGGCGGAGCUGUCUCACCUGUGCGCCCACCUGCCCACCUGCCCACCUCCUGCCUCGCCCCGGUUUCUCUUCCACCGAGCUCACAAUGUACAGAGCACAGUGCUGUGGUCCUGGCUUUGUUUGGGAGACAUACAUAAAAUCUAAAUUCGUAAAGGAAACAGUCCAUUGAUUGGAAAACGAUCCGUAGACCGGAUUUCCAAAGUGAGAUCCUGACGACCAGUGCCAAGUACAAGCACAGCGUCUUUUGACUGUGAAACACCAGCCGGUCAAAAUAGUGACUCUGACUUCCAGUUUCUUCAUUCAGCCGCAUGAUAAAAAGGCAUCGCUGGAAAGACCCAAAAUGAUGAUUCCUGCUUUAGGAAAAAUCGUGAGGCUCCCAGAGUCUGAAACAACCAUUUUACCAGCUUAGGCUGUAUGCCCAGUGUGGGGCUUGAUUGAACUCACAACCUGGAGAUCAAGAGUCAUGCUCUACCAGCUGAGCCAACCAGGCACCCUAGUGUUUUUAUUUUUAAGACGGUGCUGCCGUGGAUUUCCCUAGAGCUCGGACACUGGGGUCAGACUGACUGCGGGGUCCCUGCUCAGAACCCUUCACCAACUCCCCUUUCUGCUUUGCCCUUGAACAUGGGUGUUCUAAAUGGCCCCAGCUCCAUCCUUUAUCUCAAAUUAAGAACCAGGACGUUUUGUCUUCUAUGAAAGGCCUAUCAGGCACCAGAAGAUGGAAAGAAAUUAUUUCCUGUGGGAGAACCCAUGAGAAUGUCUGGCUAAGAAUGAACUGCUUAGUCACUGCUCCUUCCUUUUGACCUUCCAGUCCUAUAUCUUCUGGCCUUUGCAUGUUUACUGAGAAACUAUACCCGGAACUAUCCAGAGGGAGGAAUGCAGGUAAAAAGCAAAAACGAUUUUGCAAUGUUAGAGGCGUAAGGGAAAGAUUUGGUGGAGAUUAAAGCAGAAUAAAUACCAUCUUUCUCAAUUAUAAAGUUGCGGGAUGUCAUUUGUCCAUGAUAAAAUUCCCCCCCCCCCCACAGAUAAUUUAAAGUUGACGGUUACAAACCCCCAUUAACAGGUUAAAUACACUCAGUACACAUGGAUUUCUGGUCUUAAUGCUUCACAGAGCUAAUGAAUCUGUUUCGCUUGAAAGGACUACAUCUAAUCCUCUUAGCAUCAAAAGGGAAAAGCUUGUUCAACUAACUCCCUCUGUUACCUGAAUGAGAGGUGAAUGUUCCCUUCAGAAAUUCUUUGCUGUUGAGGAGUUAUGCUUUCAGUUGCGCUGAGAAGUAAGGCUGGGCAGAGGUGAGAUGGACCUUGAGAGUGGGAAAGAGAGAGAGCAGUAUGCAGCGCUGAUGUAUCAGAUAAGGAACAAGAGAGGAGGCUAGCUGAGUCCUUGAGUGGGGUUCUUUUAUUUUAUUUUUUUUAAGUGGAGUAAGAAAUUUGGAUGUUUAAAUCAACAAAAUGCAGAAAAUAAACUAGCAUAUAAGAUGACCCUUAAUAAGCCAUAUGUGUUUAUUAUUGGAAAAGACAAGUUUAAAAAAAGGAACUAGCUUAAAAAGCAGGAUAGUUUCUUUUUUAAUUUUCUAUUAUUUCCCAAAUAUGGUAAAACUGUGGCCGAUACAGAUUUAACAGAAGUAAAACAGCUGAGUAAGACAAUAAAACAGCCAUAUUACAGUAAUGUGAAAUGUUAACACUGGGGGAAAGUGCAUGAGAAUUAUAUGAGAAUUCUGUUAUCUUUUUGACUUUUUGUAAACAUAAAAGUGUUCUAAAAUAAGUUUAUUAAAAAAAAAAAAAAAGCCUAACCUAUGAUGUUGAGUAAAACAAUGGAUGUAUGGAUAAUGAGCUGCUCAGUAUUAUCCUGGUGAUUACUAUAAUCAUGAAAAUUAUACCUUAAAAAAGCUUGUUAAUUAAAGAUUUGACAUUUUCCAAGUAAAAUCCAUGUUAAAAUAUUCAGCUCAGGUUGUUGAUUCUAAACUAACAAGGAGCCAAUCAAACACAAUCAGACUAAGAACAGUUUUCUAAUAUUUUGGGUACUUAGGACGCCAGAAAUGCUGUCUUUCUUGAGGCUAGAAUAAGCUAGAUGAGGCCAUUUGAACAAAACAAGGCUGUUAUCUGUCAGUUUCUCCUGCAUUUCUGGUUAAUUUGGAAGAAAAACAAAGAACUGUGGGGGAUCGGAUGUCCACGUGUUCCUUCUUUUUCCACUUUCUGGUAUUUAGAUAUUCCUGAACUUAGGGCAAUGGUAAGAUCCCAUUGAGAUACAGGACUCCUUCAAUAAAUAAUUCUGUAGCACUCAUUGAGGAUAUCACAUGCCUUCUCAUUAAAUAGACAGAACCACAGAACCUGCUUCCAUUAGGAUUCACACGGGGCCAGCUCAGUGUUUGACAUUCAGUCUCAGAGACCAGACAGUGGCGAAGAAUAGCCCGCAGGCCACAUCUGGCCUGUAGUCUUUUUUUUUUUUUUUUUUUAAACAGUCCACGAGUUAAGAAUGGUUUUUACAUUUUUUUUUACAUUUUUAAAUAAUGAAAGAAAAAAAGACCAAAAGACUAUUUCAUGACACAUGAAAUGACAUUCAAACUUCAGCAUCUAUAGAUGAAGUUUUAUUGGAAUCCACCCUAGCGGGAUGGGUGCUUUCCUCCUGCAAAGGCAGAGCUGAGUGGUUCUGACUGCGCGGCCUGCAAAGUCUCAACUGUUUACUCUCCGAGCCUUUCCAGAAAAAGUUCGUCAGUCGGUUGUAGACAACUCCCCCCAUGCACACUCCUCCUCCUGGGUUUUCAGAGCAGUGUUCUCAUUUUUUGGCUUUCCAACUAAGUGCCACUAUGGGAUUGAAGUGGCAAUGGGGCAGGCUCGGUCUAGUGAGGAGGGGACUGAGAGUGUGGCUAGCCAGGAGGGGCCUGGUGGACACGAACAGGCAGGAAGGUAAGAUGUCAAGUACCAGAAGAGCUAAUAUGUGGCCAAAGAGGCUAGGCAGGUCCUGGUGAUGUGCUAGAAAGAAGAUCCCAUGUUAGGAAGUCAACUCAGAAACAGGAGACAUGAGGUAUGAGUGGUCUAGGCAGAGUCUAGAAGGUCAAAGUUUGCAGAAGCUGCAUGAACAAGCAGGGUGACACCAAACCCAAGAUGUAAUCUUAGGGCAAAGGGGAUUAUCCCAUUUUACACGGCUUUCUGGGUUGGACAGCCUUAGGUCCCAAACUACUAAUGACAUUCAGAAGAAAGUCUGUGUUUAAAAACACAGACCUCGGGCGCCUGGGUGGCUCAGUUGGUUAAGCGACUGCCUUCGGCUUGGGUCAUGGUCCUGGAGUCCCGGAAUCGAGUCCCGCAUCGGGCUCCCUGCUCAGCAGGGAGUCUGCUUCUCCCUCUGACCCCCCCCCCCCCUCAUGUGGUCUCUCUCAUUCUUUCUCAAAUAAAUAAAUAAAAUCUUAAAAAAAAAAAAUAAGACCUCAGGGGCGCUGGGGUGGCUCAGCUGGUUGAGCAUCUGACUCUUGAUCUCAGCUCAGGUCUUGAUCUCAGGGUGGUGAGUUCAAGCCCCAUGUUGGGCUCCAUCCUGGGUGCAGAGCCUGCUUAACGCAGACCUGAGGGGAACUGCACAUUCAUACAGAUUGAGUCCUUUGAUGGAUGCUGAGUACGAGAUGCUGGAUAUUAGACUCUGCUACUAGACUUCCCUUAAUAUUUAGUUCCACACACUACUGAUUAUAAGAUGCUGGUACUUGUACAUCUCAGCAGGAUAACCUUGAGCCGGAAGCCGGUCCUUCCUUCACAACGAGGCCAUGUAUCUAGUUCCGUAUCAAAGUGAAAAGCCAUCUUCUUACCAAUCUCCCAAGCAAGAAAAUCUCCCUUGUACGUCACUGGAAGUUCCACGUGCCUUUUCCCAAUUCCCAUUUGACUAGACAGAAAGUACAUAGUAGGGAGAGGAAAAAUGACAGAAAGAGGAAGGUCAUUUAAGUUGUGCUGAUUCAAUCAUUCUUAAUAGCCAGUGAUAAUAAUAGAUCAUUUAAAACUAAUAAAUC